GCUCAGGAUGAACGCUGGCGGCGUGCCUAAUACAUGCAAGUCGAGCGAAUGGAUUGAGAGCUUGCUCUCAAGAAGUUAGCGGCGGACGGGUGAGUAACACGUGGGUAACCUGCCCAUAAGACUGGGAUAACUCCGGGAAACCGGGGCUAAUACCGGAUAACAUUUUGAACUGCAUGGUUCGAAAUUGAAAGGCGGCUUCGGCUGUCACUUAUGGAUGGACCCGCGUCGCAUUAGCUAGUUGGUGAGGUAACGGCUCACCAAGGCAACGAUGCGUAGCCGACCUGAGAGGGUGAUCGGCCACACUGGGACUGAGACACGGCCCAGACUCCUACGGGAGGCAGCAGUAGGGAAUCUUCCGCAAUGGACGAAAGUCUGACGGAGCAACGCCGCGUGAGUGAUGAAGGCUUUCGGGUCGUAAAACUCUGUUGUUAGGGAAGAACAAGUGCUAG
rnacentral:rRNA from 2 species